rnacentral:piRNA from 1 species
UGCUAGUACUAGGAUGUCACAAAACCAUU